rnacentral:rRNA from 1 species
GAUGAACGCUGACAGCAUGCUUAACACAUCAGCAAUUGAUUGUUGGCGGACGGGUGAGUAACGCGUAAAGAACUUGCCUCACAGGUAGGGACAACAUUUCGAAAUGAAUGCUAAUACCUGAUACUGUGAGAGAGUGUUGCGUCCCAUUAGCUAGUUGGAGAGGUAACAGCUCACCAAAGCGAUGAUGGGUAGCCGGCCUGAGAGGGUGAACGGCAACAAGGGGACUGGGACACGGCCCUUAAUCCUACGGGAGGAAGCAGUGGGGAAUAGUGGACAAUGGACCGAAGUCUGAUCCAGCAAUUCUGUGUGCACGAUGAAGUUUUCGGAAGGUAAAGUGCUUUCAGUUGGGAAGCGGUACCAACAGAAGAAGUGACGGCUAAAUACGUGCCAGCAGCCGCGGUAAUUC